GACGAGCUGCAGCAAGAGAAUUCUUAUUUAAAAUUGUUCCAUGAAGAAAGUAUGUCUUGGAUUUUAUCCACUCAACCCCGGAAGACAGAGCUGCGUACAGCACACAUUUUCAUUAGCUUCAGGUACUCAGCGCUCAUUUGCUGAAGAACAAAGUACACAGUGCCAAGGAACAGAAAUUGAGAGUGCCAGAAAGAACUUCAGCCCACAAGUUGUGUAAAUGACGAAGACAACUGCAAUUAAAAUUCUGUUCCUACUGCCAAAACAGAGUGAGAAGAGGGUGCUUCACGGUCUUGUGGAAGAAAAAACAGAAGAGAAUGCAGCUUGAUGGGUACACACAGGUCAAAAUCCCACCAUCACCUCUGCCAGCACAAUGGAGCAGCGAAGGUCAUCAAGCACUGGGAGGUGGCUGAGUAGAGUCCGGCCAGAGGCGUGGCAGUUGAGGAAGAGCAUCCCGGUAGUUUUACAGCUGGAGCAAUGACCCUUGC